rnacentral:rRNA from 1 species
GACCACCGAGAUCUACACUCUUUCCCUACACGACGCUCUUCCGAUCUGGGGGAUUGGGGUUCGAUUCCGGAGAGGGUGCCUGAGAAACGGCAACCAUUGCUAUGGCGAGCAGCAGGCGCGCAAAUUGCCCAAUGCCAACUCGGUGAGGCAGCGACGAACAAUAUCAACUACGUUGGGUUCUACCCACGCAGCUUGAAAUGGACUGUACUCAUAACCACUGCUGAGUAUCUAUUGGAGGACAAGUCUGGUGCCAGCACCCGCGGUAAUACCAGCUCCAAGAGCGUAUAUUAAUGUUGUUGCGGUUAAAAAGCUCGUAGUUGGAUGCAAGGGCGCCGGUUGGGGCGGGCCCUGGUCCGAGGUUUUCGCCAACGAUCAGUGUGCCUUCUCCAUAUGGCCGGUGCUCUUCAAUCUUUGUGGGAACGAUCGCCGGCGGAAGCCAUCUUCACUGAUGGCGGAAGCACCUUCGGAGUGUCACGCUCCAUCAGGCGCGCCCACAGAUGUUACUGUGAGUAACUCAGAGUGUUCAAAGCACCCUGCAUGCAGGGAGAAUGCAAAAGCAUGGAAUAACAAGGGAUCGACCGCUGUGGCCUCCUUUUGUUGGUUUUCAAGCCACCGUGUGGUAACCUCGUGCCCGAUCGUCUCCGCGCUUUUCCUCCGGGGAUGCGUGGCAGAGUUCGGGUACAUUCGGGAUCAAUAGGAGCAUGGGGAGUGGUCAGUACUUCCGGGUGAGAGGUGAAAUUCAUAGACCCCGGGAAGACUAACAUCAGCGAAAGCCGUCUACUAUCAUGCUUUCAUUAAUCAAGAACGAGAGAAAGGGGAUCGAAGAUGAUCAGAUACCGUCGUAGUCCUUUCCGUAAAUUAUGCAGACUUGGGAUCGGUCGGUGCUCUACAUUGACCCGAUCGGCACCUCACUCCCUUGUCGAGAAAUCAAAGUCUUUGUGUUCCGGGGGGAGUAUAUUCGCAAGGCUGAAACUUAAAGGAAUUGACGGAGAACCACCACCAGGCGUGGAGUGUGCGGCUUAAUUCGACCCAACACGGGAAAAUUUACCAGGCCAGGACAUGGUAAGGAUUGCCAGAUUGAAAGCUCUUGCAUGAUCCCAUGAAGGGUGGUGCAUGGCCGCUUCUGGUUGGUGGAGUGAUUUGUCUGCUUAAUUGCGUUAACGAACGAGAUCUCUGCCACUAACUACAUCUCCCCUCCGCCGUAGGUUGCCGCGUGGUUCUGUGGUUCUGCCACCGUCCGCGCGGUGCCGAGGAGGUGUUUGGGAUUACUUAUUGGGAUUAUGCAAUCUCUCCAAUUGCAUUGAAACGAGAGCCAAAAGCAGGUCUGUGAUGCUCCUAUAUGUCCUGGGCUGCACGCGCACUACACUGAUAC